rnacentral:rRNA from 1 species
UACGUAGGGGGCUAGCGUUGUCCGGAAUCAUUGGGCGUAAAGCGCGUGUAGGCGGUCCGGUAAGUCCGCUGUGAAAGUCGGGGGCUCAACCCUCGAAUGCCGGUGGAUACUGUCGGGCUAGAGUACGGAAGAGGCGAGUGGAAUUCCCGGUGUAGCGGUGAAAUGCGUAGAGAUCGGGAGGAAGGCCGGUGGCGAAGGCGGCUCUCUGGGACGUCCCUGACACUGAGGCGCGAAAGCGUGGGGAGCAAACAGG